GUGAGCUGCUGGGCUGGGAGCAGUGCCAGGAGAGGAGCCCCGGCUACAUCCACGAGCAGGGCUGCUUCUCCACCUUCGGCAGGACCUUGCAGAAAUACAUCUCUGUCCCUGGGACUUGCAGCUUGGCCGUGCUGGGCAUCGAGAUCUUCGCCAUGUUCUUUGCCUUUUGCCUUUAUUACAACUUCGACUGAGCAGGAAGAAGUGCGGUAGAGGGGAGGCUUUGGAAACAGCGGCAGGCAAAGACACUCUCCAUUUCCUCCCAUACCAGAGCAUGGCUCUGUAGCUCAGCACUGAUUACUUCCUCAGGCAGGCAGGAGCCUUGCCUGCUCCCAUCUGCUCCAGUGGACACAGAAGGAUGGGCCUGGCUUGCUUUUCUGGGAGCAGGAAUGGGACACAGGUUAAAUUCCUUAGAGGCAACUGCAUAGAGCGGGAGUCUGAGCAUCAAACUUGGUGCCACUGCGAUCUGCCAUCAGUCGUCACAAAAUUAAACAGCUCUGGUGACAGGGAGUCCUGCCCACCCUGUGCACCAUGGUCCAAGCUGCAACUGGACUAAAACAGGCUGCUCUAGAAAGUAUUCAGUCUUAACAAUUGACUUUUCCUU